GGUUAAGCGACUAAGCGUACACGGUGGAUGCCCUGGCAGUCAGAGGCGAUGAAGGACGUGCUAAUCUGCGAUAAGCGUCGGUAAGGUGAUAUGAACCGUUAUAACCGGCGAUUUCCGAAUGGGGAAACCCAGUGUGAUUCGUCACACUAUCAUUAACUGAAUCCAUAGGUUAAUGAGGCGAACCGGGGGAACUGAAACAUCUAAGUACCCCGAGGAAAAGAAAUCAACCGAGAUUCCCCCAGUAGCGGCGAGCGAACGGGGAGGAGCCCAGAGCCUGAAUCAGUGUGUGUGUUAGUGGAAGCGUCUGGAAAGGCGCGCGAUACAGGGUGACAGCCCCGUACACAAAAAUGCACAUACUGUGAGCUCGAUGAGUAGGGCGGGACACGUGGUAUCCUGUCUGAAUAUGGGGGGACCAUCCUCCAAGGCUAAAUACUCCUGACUGACCGAUAGUGAACCAGUACCGUGAGGGAAAGGCGAAAAGAACCCCGGCGAGGGGAGUGAAAAAGAACCUGAAACCGUGUACGUACAAGCAGUGGGAGCCUCUUUUAUGGGGUGACUGCGUACCUUUUGUAUAAUGGGUCAGCGACUUAUAUUCUGUAGCAAGGUUAACCGAAUAGGGGAGCCGAAGGGAAACCGAGUCUUAACUGGGCGUUAAGUUGCAGGGUAUAGACCCGAAACCCGGUGAUCUAGCCAUGGGCAGGUUGAAGGUUGGGUAACACUAACUGGAGGACCGAACCGACUAAUGUUGAAAAAUUAGCGGAUGACUUGUGGCUGGGGGUGAAAGGCCAAUCAAACCGGGAGAUAGCUGGUUCUCCCCGAAAGCUAUUUAGGUAGCGCCUCGUGAAUUCAUCUCCGGGGGUAGAGCACUGUUUCGGCAAGGGGGUCAUCCCGACUUACCAACCCGAUGCAAACUGCGAAUACCGGAGAAUGUUAUCACGGGAGACACACGGCGGGUGCUAACGUCCGUCGUGAAGAGGGAAACAACCCAGACCGCCAGCUAAGGUCCCAAAGUCAUGGUUAAGUGGGAAACGAUGUGGGAAGGCCCAGACAGCCAGGAUGUUGGCUUAGAAGCAGCCAUCAUUUAAAGAAAGCGUAAUAGCUCACUGGUCGAGUCGGCCUGCGCGGAAGAUGUAACGGGGCUAAACCAUGCACCGAAGCUGCGGCAGCGACACUGUGUGUUGUUGGGUAGGGGAGCGUUCUGUAAGCCUGUGAAGGUGUGCUGUGAGGCAUGCUGGAGGUAUCAGAAGUGCGAAUGCUGACAUAAGUAACGAUAAAGCGGGUGAAAAGCCCGCUCGCCGGAAGACCAAGGGUUCCUGUCCAACGUUAAUCGGGGCAGGGUGAGUCGACCCCUAAGGCGAGGCCGAAAGGCGUAGUCGAUGGGAAACAGGUUAAUAUUCCUGUACUUGGUGUUACUGCGAAGGGGGGACGGAGAAGGCUAUGUUGGCCGGGCGACGGUUGUCCCGGUUUAAGCGUGUAGGCUGGUUUUCCAGGCAAAUCCGGAAAAUCAAGGCUGAGGCGUGAUGACGAGGCACUACGGUGCUGAAGCAACAAAUGCCCUGCUUCCAGGAAAAGCCUCUAAGCAUCAGGUAACAUCAAAUCGUACCCCAAACCGACACAGGUGGUCAGGUAGAGAAUACCAAGGCGCUUGAGAGAACUCGGGUGAAGGAACUAGGCAAAAUGGUGCCGUAACUUCGGGAGAAGGCACGCUGAUAUGUAGGUGAAGUCCCUCGCGGAUGGAGCUGAAAUCAGUCGAAGAUACCAGCUGGCUGCAACUGUUUAUUAAAAACACAGCACUGUGCAAACACGAAAGUGGACGUAUACGGUGUGACGCCUGCCCGGUGCCGGAAGGUUAAUUGAUGGGGUCAGCGCAAGCGAAGCUCUUGAUCGAAGCCCCGGUAAACGGCGGCCGUAACUAUAACGGUCCUAAGGUAGCGAAAUUCCUUGUCGGGUAAGUUCCGACCUGCACGAAUGGCGUAAUGAUGGCCAGGCUGUCUCCACCCGAGACUCAGUGAAAUUGAACUCGCUGUGAAGAUGCAGUGUACCCGCGGCAAGACGGAAAGACCCCGUGAACCUUUACUAUAGCUUGACACUGAACAUUGAGCCUUGAUGUGUAGGAUAGGUGGGAGGCUUUGAAGUGUGGACGCCAGUCUGCAUGGAGCCGACCUUGAAAUACCACCCUUUAAUGUUUGAUGUUCUAACGUGGACCCGUGAUCCGGGUUGCGGACAGUGUCUGGUGGGUAGUUUGACUGGGGCGGUCUCCUCCUAAAGAGUAACGGAGGAGCACGAAGGUUGGCUAAUCCUGGUCGGACAUCAGGAGGUUAGUGCAAUGGCAUAAGCCAGCUUGACUGCGAGCGUGACGGCGCGAGCAGGUGCGAAAGCAGGUCAUAGUGAUCCGGUGGUUCUGAAUGGAAGGGCCAUCGCUCAACGGAUAAAAGGUACUCCGGGGAUAACAGGCUGAUACCGCCCAAGAGUUCAUAUCGACGGCGGUGUUUGGCACCUCGAUGUCGGCUCAUCACAUCCUGGGGCUGAAGUAGGUCCCAAGGGUAUGGCUGUUCGCCAUUUAAAGUGGUACGCGAGCUGGGUUUAGAACGUCGUGAGACAGUUCGGUCCCUAUCUGCCGUGGGCGCUGGAGAACUGAGGGGGGCUGCUCCUAGUACGAGAGGACCGGAGUGGACGCAUCACUGGUGUUCGGGUUGUCAUGCCAAUGGCACUGCCCGGUAGCUAAAUGCGGAAGAGAUAAGUGCUGAAAGCAUCUAAGCACGAAACUUGCCCCGAGAUGAGUUCUCCCUGACCCUUUAAGGGUCCUGAAGGAACGUUGAAGACGACGACGUUGAUAGGCCGGGUGUGUAAGCGCAGCGAUGCGUUGAGCUAACCGGUACUAAUGAACCGUGAGGCUUAACCUU
rnacentral:rRNA from 1 species